rnacentral:tRNA from 1 species
UAUCUCGCCCCUAGUUGAGCACCAGAUUCCUAAUCUGGGGGUCGCGCGUUCGAAUCGCGCCGGGAUCACCA